AUUGAACGCUGGCGGCAGGCCUAACACAUGCAAGUCGAGCGGAUGAAGGGAGCUUGCUCCUGGAUUCAGCGGCGGACGGGUGAGUAAUGCCUAGGAAUCUGCCUUGUAGUGGGGGAUAACGUCCUGAAACGGGCGCUAAUACCGCAUACGUCCUGAGGUAGAAAGUGGGGGAUCUUCGGACCUCACGCUAUCAGAUGAGCCUAGGUCGGAUUAGCUAGUUGGUGGGGUAAAGGCCUACCAAGGCGACGAUCCGUAACUGGUCUGAGAGGAUGAUCAGUCACACUGGAAGUGAGACACGGUCCAGACUCCUACGGGAGGCAGCAGUGGGGAAUAUUGGACAAUGGGCGAAAGCCUGAUCCAGCCAUGCCGCGUGUGUGAAGAAGGUCUUCGGAUUGUAAAGCACUUUAAGUUGGGAGGAAGGGCAGUAAGUUAAUACCUUGCUGUUUUGACGUUACCAACAGAAUAAGCACCGGCUAACUUCGUG
rnacentral:rRNA from 1 species